rnacentral:misc_RNA from 1 species
UCCUCGUUUAAGCGAGGCAGUCUGUCUAGAGUGCUUCCCUCUCUCGAGGGAGUGGCAACAGGACACAAGGGUUGCGCUCGUUGCGGGACUUAACCCAACACCUCACGGCACGAGCUGACGACAGCCAUGCAGCACCUUCACCGGCGCCCCGAAGGGAAACUCCCUUUCAGGAGCGGUCGCCGGUGACUUAGCCCAGGUAAGGUUCUUCGCGUUGCAUCGAAUUAAGCCACAUGCUCCACCGCUUGUGCGGGCCCCCGUCAAUUCCUUUGAGUUUCAUUCUUGCGAACGUACUCCCCAGGUGGCAUGCUUACUGCGUUAACUGCGUCACUGCCCCCUAAGGGGCAACAACUAGCAUGCAUCGUUUACAGCGUGGACUAC